rnacentral:rRNA from 1 species
UACGUAGGGUGCAAGCGUUGUCCGGAAUUAUUGGGCGUAAAGAGCUCGUAGGCGGUUUGUCGCGUCGACUGUGAAACCCGAGGCUUAAACCUCGGGCCUGCAGUCGAUACGGGCAGACGUAGAGUUCGGUAGGGGAGACGUGGAAUUCCUGGAUGUGUGCGGGUGGGAAUACGGCAGAUAUCAGGAGGAACACCGGUGGCGAAGGCGGGUCUCUGGGCAGUAACUGACGCUGAGGAGCGAAAGCGUGGGGAGCGAACAGG